rnacentral:rRNA from 1 species
UACGUAGGGUGCGAGCGUUAAUCGGAAUUACUGGGCGUAAAGCGUGCGCAGGCGGUUUGGUAAGACAGAUGUGAAAUCCCCGGGCUUAACCUGGGAAUUGCAUUUGUGACUGCCCGGCUAGAGUGUGUCAGAGGGGGGUAGAAUUCCACGUGUAGCAGUGAAAUGCGUAGAUAUGUGGAGGAAUACCGAUGGCGAAGGCAGCCCCCUGGGAUAACACUGACGCUCAUGCACGAAAGCGUGGGGAGCAAACAGG